GAACACCAUCUGGCUGAGGCUUGAUUAACCAGCACUGGCAGACGGCAUCUGUCCAGUUCCAGGAGGAGGCACUUCUAAGACGACUUCUUUUCUAUCCAUGCUGCUGAAACAGCUUCUAAACCAGUGCCAAAGCUGAACAGAAAUUGUUGGAGAGAAUUAGAUCGUGCAUGUGCCGCACAAGAGACUCGAUUAUCCAAACCUCCAUUUCCAACCAGCUGCCAACAUGUUUCCCUCUUCUACUGAUUCCUGAACAUCUCAGUAUCUUCGGAGGUUUUAUUAGGAUUCAGCUGUAUGUCGCUUUCCUGACAUGCUCAAAGAGUUUUUUUUUUUAAAGAAAGGAACUCAGUUCAAUUAUUGAUCUUUUUAAGUGACAAGACCCACCAUGUACAUUUGAUCCAUGAAAAGCUUUCUUGUCAAAAAGAGUUCUGACUACAGAUUCAGGUUCUGAUUCUCCACUUCUUUGAUCCUGCAUCAUCAUUGAUACCUGUGAACAGUAAGACUGCAUCCUGUGUGUAAAACAUUAUUCCAUUUGAUAACAUUUGCACAGGUGUAACAGAUGGCAAAAGGCAGCGAAGAAUCUGGCUAAAAGAGAUACAAAACUUUCCACAACUCCUUUCUUAGUGUCUCUAGUCAGUGAAAGCACAGCAAUAAACAACAGCCAGGAUUUUAUUGAUUUGAAAAUACAUUUAACCAUAGAGAAUAGAGUUUUAGUUUGUCUUUCUGAACAACAGUAAGGAACAAUUUACAAAGAAAACCAAAAGCAUGAGUAAAAUAUAACUGUGAAGUUGAAAUAUGCCAAGACAAACUUUAGCAGCACUUCUACAAAUGUUAUAAUAAAAGCUACAAUGCUCAUUAAUCUCA